rnacentral:rRNA from 1 species
GAGAGGUGCUGCAUGGCUGUCGUCAGCUCGUGUUGUGAAAUGUUGGGUUAAGUCUCGCGACGAGCGCAACCCCUAUCGUCUGUUGCCAGCAUUAAGUUGGGCACUAUGACGAGACUGCCUGGGUUAACCAGGAGGAAGGUGGGGAUGACGUCAAGUCCUCAUGGCCUUUAUGUCUAGGGCUACACACGUAAUACAAUGGCGCGUACAAUGGGAAGCGAACUCGCAAGGGGGAGCAAAUCUCAAAAAGCGCGUCUCAGUCCGGAUUGGAGUCUGCAACUCGACUCCAUGAAGUUGGAAUCGCUAGUA